UGGAAGUAAAAAAUCGUAACAAGGUUUCCGUAGGUGAACCUGCGGAAGGAUCAUUACCUAGAGUUGUAGGCUUUGCCUGCUAUCUCUUACCCAUGUCUUUUGAGUACCUUACGUUUCCUCGGCGGGUCCGCCCGCCGAUUGGACAAUUUAAACCAUUUGCAGUUGCAAUCAGCGUCUGAAAAAACUUAAUAGUUACAACUUUCAACAACGGAUCUCUUGGUUCUGGCAUCGAUGAAGAACGCAGCGAAAUGCGAUAAGUAGUGUGAAUUGCAGAAUUCAGUGAAUCAUCGAAUCUUUGAACGCACAUUGCGCCCCUUGGUAUUCCAUGGGGCAUGCCUGUUCGAGCGUCAUUUGUACCUUCAAGCUCUGCUUGGUGUUGGGUGUUUGUCUCGCCUCUGCGUGUAGACUCGCCUCAAAACAAUUGGCAGCCGGCGUAUUGAUUUCGGAGCGCAGUACAUCUCGCGCUUUGCACUCAUAACGACGACGUCCAAAAGUACAUUUUUACACUCUUGACCUCGGAUCAGGUGGGGAUACCCGCUGAACUUAAGCAUAUCAAUAAGCGGAGGAAAGUUCCU
rnacentral:rRNA from 1 species